UACAAGGUAGAGAACCCGAUGGUACAGUACUCCACAAUAUGUAUCAAAGCCCAAACAAUAUCAGCACAGCGAAAUUAAGUACUUAUUUACCUAUUGGUAUAAUUAAAGCCGCUGAAAGUUUUUCGCUUUGUUGGAUUUUCAUCUCAAUGCAGUUAAACGAAAAAUUUUGAUACCAAUGCAUGCCGCCAUAAAGCAGACGCUUUUUAUGAAUGCUCAUAUGUUUCUGUUAUGGAUGAUCGCCAUGAUAAUCUAGGGAGAGGAAAACCUAGCUGCUCUCGGAAUAUUGCAACUACCGCGACUAAGUGUACAAAGGCAACAUCUUCCAGGGAUAAACGGAGUAGUACGAAUCGACAUCACCGCUCACGGCAUUCAUCCUGCGAUAACCUUCCAGAUCAGCUCGCUCAAUUACCUUGCCAGAGUUCUUCGUCCACGUCCUGCCCUGGUCGUCAUCACCAGUCCAAGCGAAGAGCUAGAUCGCGUGAUCGGGAUCACAGUACCGACCGUAAUGGUUCUCCUGAUUCAUCCCAUGGCAGCCGCACUCGGAACCGCUAUCGCCAGCAGCAAUGCGAGACACCGAAGGAUACUUGCAAAACCACUUGCUCAAAGAGUAAAAUCGAUUUGCCACGCCGAUCUCCGGGCGGUAGACGAUCGCAUUGUUCUUCGGUGGAACGAAGUAGAAGAAACUCUUUGCGGAAUGUCUGCCGAAGCACUAGCGGAGGAAGUAUUGCCUCCGCCGCGAAGAAACAUUCAAAAUCACGAGGUCGUAGCACCAGCGAGUCGACUUGUCAUUGCGAGAGCUGUGAUUCCCAUAGUCCAUCCGCAAAAGUGCUUUUAUCGCCUCGACAGAAACGGCGAAAACGACAUUCCCGAGACCGACUCCGUAACUCCAAGCGGAAGAGCGUCUGUCUUGAUGAAGAGCCCCGCGGUAGUAGAUGCAGUUCUCCGGAGGGCGACGAAGACUUAUGUCAGUGCGUUAAGGCGAAAACCCCUUCGGAGCCAAAGCCUGCUAAUGUCUGCGGCUGGGAUAGGCAGGCAAGCAUGGGUGAUGCUAGUCAUCCCGUGAUCGUGGUACAGCAAACGCCCGCCGGUUCCCUUCUGCUCAAAAGCGCAUCUCGGGUUUAUGGCGGCGAUCCACCAUCAGACUGCCGUGAAGUUCCAGUUAAUGCGAAGGAUCUAGCCACCGGCGUGGAAAUCGUUUUUAAUUCCGCCAAACAGCCAGCUGUCACGUGCUACGAUCAGGGGACCGACACAUGUGAUGACCAGGAUGAGACGGACAUCGCGGGUGAGAAGACGUCGAAUGAGUGUAUUGAUCUUCUGGAUGGUACCGAAGUCAACUUUUCCCAUUCCCUGCCAUGCGUCCAACCAAGCGGUCCCUCCCGAGACACCGCUACAUCUUGUGAUCUCCCAGCGCUUUCUGCCUCUGUCAGUAGGCUACGACAGGAACAAGCCACUUCCACCAGUGAUCGAAGGAGCUGCAGCCGGCGAUCACGUUCUUGCUCAAGGUCGCGGAGCCGAAGCAGGAAACGCAGUCGGCACAGACCACCGGAACCCUGUGAUGAGGACGGCCACGCAGCUACCAACAUAGCAUCAACAUCACAAUGUGAACUACCAACAUGCUCCACCAACUGCCGAUCACCAUGGAGUCCUUCCUUGUCCUGUCCGUGCCGCUGCCAUGAUCCCAACCGGGACGUGCCAUGGAGUUCAUGGCCUAUAUUUGGGCCAAGAAUCGCUGCAUGGGUUCAAGAUCAUCGACGGGGUAUUGUAGAGCGCAUGAAGGCCGAAUACAGAAGGAACCACCCAUGCGAUUAGUACUCCGGGUUGUUGCUGUCCAAACCCUUAUUUUGAGCCGAUAUGAGGAUCCACGGUAUUAAGUGCACACAUGCCCCGUGUCACCGGUUUUCUUGUUGUUGCCGUUAGUUUGUUCAUAUUUCUGGCCUCCUGAGGUUCUUUUGUUAGUGUUUAAAGCUUGUUUUAUGGUUAAUUGUUUUUAAUCAUUGUUGGUUCGUGUACAAGUAAGAUAUAUAUCCCUUGUUCAUCCUUAGCAACUUUAUUUAUACCAGUAUUAUUGUGUUUACGUUAUACGGUCACAACAAAAAAGUUGAUCUUACAGUUAUAUAUGUAGAAAGUAGCCGCAAAUAUUUUAUAACAACAUGCCAAAAAACUGUAGUAUUUAAUUCUGGUAUACCGGGUCGAACAUCCCCGGUUUAAAAAUAACUUAUUUAGUCUGCGAUGGAAAACACGGAGUCCGCAAGCGCGAAUCCCUCUACCGAAGCCGUCUUGAAUCUUCAGAAAGAUAGCUCCUUGACGGCACCGAGUUUAAUGACUGAUUUCGAAAUGAGGGCAAGAGUGAAUUUGACCGUUUUGCUACACGCAAUCGUCUCCUUAAUUGGAUAGCCAAUGGUCUCUUUGCCAUUGUCUCGGCUUUGUGUCACUACGGAUGGCAGAUUCUACAUGUCCUGUUGAACCCUCUUGUGGCG